rnacentral:rRNA from 1 species
GAUGAACGCUAGCUACAGGCUUAACACAUGCAAGUCGAGGGGAAACGACAUCGAAAGCUUGCUUUUGAUGGGCGUCGACCGGCGCACGGGUGAGUAACGCGUAUCCAACCUGCCCACCACCUGGGGAUAACCUUGCGAAAGUAAGACUAAUACCCCAUCACGUCUCUAGAAGACAUCUGAAAGAGAUUAAAGAUUUAUCGGUGAUGGAUGGGGAUGCGUCUGAUUAGCUUGUUGGCGGGGUAACGGCCCACCAAGGCGACGAUCAGUAGGGGUUCUGAGAGGAAGGUCCCCCACAUUGGAACUGGGACACGGUCCAAACUCCUACGGGAGGGAGCAGUGAGGAAUAUUGGUCAAUGGGCGAGAGCCUGAACCAGCCAAGUAGCGUGCAGGAUGACGGCCCUAUGGGUUGUAAACUGCUUUUAUAAGGGAAUAAAGUGAGUCUCGUGAGACUUUUUGCAUGUACCUUAUGAAUAAGGACCGGCUAAUUCCGUGCCAGCCGCCGCCGUAA